AUAAAAAGGAAUAUUUAUGCCUCAAUUGCAGGGCAGAUGAGCAAGGACAAGCAGAAUUUCAGUAUUCAGUCUGAAUGCGCUGCUGCUUACACAGAUUCUAGGGGGCCUACUUAUUCUGUGGGUAUUGAUGUUCAAUCUGCUGGUAAAGAUCUUAUCUAUACAGUGCACAGUCAGGCAUGUGGUACUUGAGAGUCCUCAGUUUUGUGUUGCUGUGAACUGUAUAGAUAAGAUCUUUACCAGCAGAUUGAACAUCAAUACCCACAGAAUAAGUAGGCCCCCUAGAAUCUGUGUAAGCAGCAGCGCAUUCAGACUGAAUACUGAAAUUCUGCUUGUCCUUGCUCAUCUGCCCUGCAAUUGAGGCAUAAAUAUUCCUUUUUAUUUCCAUAGCCGUCUCCAAGUUUAUACCAUCAAAGCCCACAUCAUGAUCCCAUCCUUGAGGAUCAAGCACAGGUCUCAUAAGCCAUUUGUCACUUGUAGCAAGGCAGCGAUAUCUGUGUACAGGGCAGUCUGAGUCAAAAGUUGGAGGGACUACCAUAUCUGGUAACAGGACAGCUUCUGGAGGUGUCUGCUGGUCAUCAUAGUCAUCCUCACCCAAAGUUUCUGCUUCACAAAGCUUCUUCUCCCUCUGCCUCCGAGCAUCCUCCUUCAACUGUUUCUUCAAAUAAAGAGUCUCUCGGUAAUCCAGCUCAUCAAGGUAGUCUCU
rnacentral:misc_RNA from 1 species